rnacentral:rRNA from 1 species
GAUGAACGCUGGCGGCGUGCCUAAUACAUGCAAGUCGAGCGAAUGGAUUGAGAGCUUGCUCUUAUGAAGUUAGCGGCGGACGGGUGAGUAACACGUGGGUAACCUGCCCAUAAGACUGGGAUAACUCCGGGAAACCGGGGCUAAUACCGGAUAACAUUUUGAACCGCAUGGUUCGAAAUAGAAAGGCGGCUUCGGCUGUCACUUAUGGAUGGACCCGCGUCGCAUUAGCUAGUUGGUGAGGUAACGGCUCACCAAGGCAACGAUGCGUAGCCGACCUGAGAGGGUGAUCGGCCACACUGGGACUGAGACACGGCCCAGACUCCUACGGGAGGCAGCAGUAGGGAAUCUUCCGCAAUGGACGAAAGUCUGACGGAGCAACGCCGCGUGAGUGAUGAAGGCUUCGGGUCGUAAAACUCUGUUGUUAGGGAAGAACAAGUGCUAGUUGAAUAAGCUGGCACCUUGACGGUACCUAACCAGAAAGCCACGGCUAACUACGUGCCAGCCGCCGCAGUAA